ACACAAAGUUUCAGAUGCAGGUCUGGUCUGGACCGUGUGUGUGUGUGUGCGUGAGGGGACGGGUGGCUGUAAUCUUUGAAAGUUUAUGAACGAACCUUUAUUGGGGUGCGACAAGAGAUCUCCAGGACUCAGUUUGGAUGGAGCAGAGCUGGUAUACUCAAGCCUAUUGCGAAAUUGCCUAAACUGGUAUUAACUAUUCCUGGUAAAUCGCAGAGAAAAGUGGCCUGAACAAAAAAGUCAGACCGAGACUUUAGAACCUCCCGCCGUGUAACAAGGCCAUCUUGGAACAAAGAGACGUUGAGUGGCUCGUGUCGUCUGCUUGGAUAUCAGUGGCAAAGCGAUCGUUG